GAUGAAGAACGCAGCGAAAUGCGAUAAGUAAUGUGAAUUGCAGAAUUCAGUGAAUCAUCGAAUCUUUGAACGCACCUUGCGCCCUUUGGACAUUCCGAAGGGCAUGCCUGUUUGAGUAUCAUGAACACCUCAACUCUCUCGGCUUGUCCGUGAUGAGCUUGGACUUUGGGGGUCUUGCCGGCCUGUGGUCGGCUCCUCUCAAAUGGAUCAGCUUGCCAGUGUUUGGUGGCAUCACAGGUGUGAUAACUAUCUGCGCUUGUGGUUUUCCAUCAGAUAACCUUCAGUGAUAUGGAGGUUCGCUGGAGCUCACAAAUGUCUCUCCUUAGUGAGGACAGCUCUUUGAACGUUUGAUCUCAAAUCAGGUAGGACUACCCGCUGAACUUAAGCAUAUCAAUAAGCGGAGGA
rnacentral:misc_RNA from 1 species